AUUGAACGCUGGCGGCGUGCUUAACACAUGCACGUCGAACGGUGAAAGCGGAGCUUGCUCCGCUGGAUCAGUGGCGAACGGGUGAGUAACACGUGGGCAACCUGCGCCUCACUUCGGGAUAACUCCGGGAAACCGGGGCUAAUACCGGAUAUGACCUCCUUGGGCAUCUUCUGUAGGUGGAAAGAAUUUCGGUUCGGGAUGGACUCGCGACCUAUCAGCUAGUUGGGGAGGUAAUGGCUCACCAAGGCGAGGAAGGGUAGCCGGCCUGAGAGGGUGACCGGCCACACUGGGACUGAGACACGGCCCAGACUCCUACGGGAGGCAGCAGUGGGGAAUAUUGCACAAUGGGCGCAAGCCUGAUGCAGCAACGCCGUGUGAGGGAUGACGGCCUUCGGGUUGUAAACCUCUUUUAGUAGGGAAGAAGCGAAAGUGACGGUACCUGCAGAAAAAGCACCGGCUAACUACGUGCCAGCAGCCGCCGUAA
rnacentral:rRNA from 1 species